GCCGAAGUGGUGGAAUAGGUAGACACGCCAUCUUGAGGGGGUGGUGGGCAAAACCUGUGGGGGUUCGACUCCCCCCUUCGGCACCA
rnacentral:tRNA from 1 species